rnacentral:rRNA from 1 species
UACGUAGGGUGCGAGCGUUAAUCGGAAUUACUGGGCGUAAAGCGUGUGCAGGCGGUUUGCCAAGUCAGGUGUGAAAUCCCCGGGCUUAACCUGGGAAUUGCGCUUGAAACUAGCGGGCUUGAGUGUGGCAGAGGGGGGUGGAAUUCCACGUGUAGCAGUGAAAUGCGUAGAGAUGUGGAGGAACACCGAUGGCGAAGGCAGCCCCCUGGGCUGACACUGACGCUCAUGCACGAAAGCGUGGGGAGCAAACAGG